CUCUCCAAUGUUAUUAGGGUAUGUGUUUGGGUAUGACGGUGCUUUUUUUGUAGAUUCUGGACAAGAAAUAGACACAUAAAUUGUAGUAGAUUUCGGUCAUCAAUUGGGAGACUUCGAUUGCUGUCUAGUUGCAUUAGUUUCACGAAGUGGCUACGGGUACGGGCCCGUACUCGCAACUUGCUCCGGCUACGGGUACGGCAAACUGGUCACAUGAUGUGGCACGCUGGUCACAUGACACUCUCUCAAUUUGUCGGUACGUACACUGUACGUAUACGCAUAGCGUUGAGUCGGUAUGAAACGUGCCUUCAAUAUGGUUAAGCAGAUCUCAUAUCUUGGAUGGAGGAAAGUCUAGUUUUUCAACGAUUCUGCCUCAUGUCUACCAAUUGUAUAAGAAAGUCAAUCAUCUUGUUUAUCUGAUGGCUAAUCAAGGAAGUAUCAUCAAGUCCCACAAGAAUGGCCCUGUCUCCUCUGCUGCCAUGUACCCUAUUGUUGUAUAGCACAACAAGCUAGGUAGAAGAACCAGAAUAAGCAUCAGUCCUUAUUUCAACAUUUUAGAAAGAGGACGAAAGGCAAAAAACAACCAGAAGAGGUCGCAUAACUCUUCUAUCCUUUAGAAGACUGUAAGAGGACCAUACUUUACUCAUGCUGAAAGGAAUUUUUUGUGGUAAGCUGAUUAUUCUGUUCAAAGAGGGAAUUGAGUCGCAAAGUAUGAGGAACUAAUUCACAGUUCGGAAAUCAAUCAUCAAUGAGUGCUUCUUUAGAGGCUUCCUUAGAAGCAGUCGAAUUAGGACAAGAGGAAUGAUAUAUUUAUUGUCGAUUCUAUAUCUUCGUUAGGCGAGAAAGAGGUGACUACUUUAUAUUUGAAGAUUAGAGGUUGCUCUAUGUAUAGCAUAUGGUAGUUUGCUUUGAGACCUGUUGCUGGUUUUUUAAAGUAUGUUCUGUGUCUACGUUGAAGAUGCAUUACAAUAAAUGACAGA